rnacentral:rRNA from 1 species
CAGUAGCCGCGGGAAUACGAAGGGGGCUAGCGUUGCUCGGAAUGACUGGGCGUAAAGGGCGCGUAGGCGGCGGCCAAAGUCAGGCGUGAAAUUCCCGGGCUCAACCUGGGGGCUGCGUUUGAUACUUGGUUGCUUGAGUGGGGAGGAGGGUCGUGGAAUUCCCAGUGUAGAGGUGAAAUUCGUAGAUAUUGGGAAGAACACCGGUGGCGAAGGCGGCGACCUGGUCCUUUACUGACGCUGAGGCGCGAAAGCGUGGGGAGCAAACAGGAUUAGAUACCCCCGUAGUCCCUGUCUCUUAUAC